rnacentral:rRNA from 1 species
AGCAGCCGCGGUAAUUCCAGCUCCAAUAGCGUAUAUUAAAGUUGUUGCAGUUAAAAAGCUCGUAGUUGAAUUUCGGGAUCAAUACGUCGGUCGUGCUUCGGUACGUACUAACGUCAUUGAUUUCUCCCUUCUGACGAAUCGUGAUGUCAUUAAUUUGGUGUUACGGGGAGUUAGGACUGUUACUUUGAAAAAUUAGAGUGUUUAAAGCAAGCAAUCGCUCGAAUACAUUAGCAUGGAAUAAUGAAAUAGGACGUUCGAACCUAUUUUGUUGGUUUCUAGGAUCGACGUAAUGAUUAAUAGGGAUAGUUGGGGGCAUUAGUAUUCAAUUGUCAGAGGUGAAAUUCUUGGAUUUAUUGAAGACUAACUACUGCGAAAGCAUUUGCCAAGGAUGUUUUCAUUAAUCAAGAACGAAAGUUAGGGGAUCGAAGACGAUCAGAUACCGUCGUAGUCUUAACCAUAAACUAUGCCGACUAAGGGAUCGGAUGAUGUUAAUUUUAUAAUGACUCAUUCGGCGCCUUAC